rnacentral:rRNA from 1 species
UGGGGAAUUUUGGACAAUGGGCGAAAGCCUGAUCCAGCAAUGCCGCGUGUGUGAAGAAGGCCUUCGGGUUGUAAAGCACUUUUGUCCGGAAAGAAAUCCUUGGCUCUAAUACAGUCGGGGGAUGACGGUACCGGAAGAAUAAGCACCGGCUAACUACGUGCCAGCAGCCGCGGUAAUACGUAGGGUGCAAGCGUUAAUCGGAAUUACUGGGCGUAAAGCGUGCGCAGGCGGUUUGCUAAGACCGAUGUGAAAAUCCCCGGGCUCAACCUGGGAACUGCAUUGGUGACUGGCAGGCUAGAGUAUGGCAGAGGGGGGUAGAAUUCCACGUGUAGCAGUGAAAUGCGUAGAGAUGUGGAGGAAUACCGAUGGCGAAGGCAGCCCCUGGCCAAGUACUGACGCUCAUGCACGAAAAGCGUGGGGAGCAAAACAGGAUUAGAUACCCUGGUAGUCCACGCCCUAAAACGAUGUCAACUAGUUGUUGGGGAUUCAUUUCCUUAGUAACGUAGCUAACGCGUGAAGUUGACCGCCUGGGGAGU